rnacentral:lncRNA from 1 species
GCUCGGUUGGGGUGGUGGCUGGCUGGUCGAAGGAAGAAGAAGGAGUUUGGCUCCUUCGGUUUGUCCAAAGAAACAGGGGAAGGAGUGUUCGGGCGUGCCAAGAUUAGAGUGCUGUUCAAAAGAAAAACAGAGCCUCCUCUGUUUUGGGGAAGAAAAGAAAAAAAAAGAGAGUAUUUUAUUUGUUUUAGUUUGAGUUUAUGUAUUGAAUUUUUUUAGUUGUACUUUAACUGAAAGUUUUAAUUGAGAAGUCAUGUUUUGAGUUUCA